rnacentral:snRNA from 10 species
AUCACAGCGUUCACUUCAUUACGCACCAAUCUUUCGCCUUUUACUAAAGGUUGCCGUGAAAGGGACGCAUCAAUGUGACUUCAUCAAUUUUUGCGGGACCUUCGGGUCCCA